ACACCAGCAGCAGGAUGUCAUCUGCAGCCAACUAAUACUACAGUGCAAGAGAGGGUGGCCACGACAAGAGGAGCUGCCCCAGCUACUAAAACCCUAUUGGGUCCACCAAAAUUACGAUUUCGGACAUGUGACCAGCAGCCCAUACUUUGCACAGAGCAAUGGGGAGGCAGAGAGGGCUGUGAAAACAGUCAAAGGCAUCUUGAAAAAGAACGCAGACCCAUACAGGGCCUUGCUGGCGUACCGGGUUACACCGCUGCAUCAAGGACCUUCACCUGCAGAACUCCUAAUGGGCAGGAGGCUGCGCUCACCUUUGCCCGUUUCACCUGGUCAACUCAAACCACGGUGGCCAAACAGGAAAGCUUUUGCAGAGAAGGACAAACGUUUGAAACAUGCUCAGACAGUUACCUAUAACUACAGACAUAGAGCUUCUGCCAGACCAGAACUAAAAGCAGGUCAGAGAGUCUGGAUUACAAACACGCAGGAGCCUGCUACAGUACUGAGAGAAGCUGACACUCCUCGGUCCUAUGUAGUGGAGACAGAUUCAGAGGAAGUGAGGAGAAACAAAGCACACCUCAGACUUUUACCAGAUUUACAAACCCCUCCACAGGUUGUGGAGGACACGGAACAGCAGACAGCGGAACCAGAAGAGAGGACGGGGGAGAGGAGUCAAAGAGCUCACCUAAAGAGGGAAGUUAAAGCCCCAGGGUGGCUUAAAGACUAUAUAACCUAGAAGAAUAGGGAACGGUUAUAAAUGUUAUCUUGUUCAGUUGAUAACUGUAUUUCAUGCCACUUUGUUAUAGUUCUACUUUGGGGAAGGGGAGAUGUAGUAUGGUCCCUUUGGCGUUCCAUACAGGGGAUUGGGGGUGUCCCGGUGUGUACAUGAGGAAAGAGUUCAGUCUGAGUAAAGAUGCCUGUCGGCUAAAUAGC